rnacentral:snRNA from 1 species
AUCGCUUCUUGGCCUUUUGGCUAAGAUCAAGUGUAGAAAACUUUCAACUCUUCUUUCUAAAUAAGAUGCCGUGUUCUGUCUGACUUUACUUAAUGACAAAUGUCAGGGUUUGUUUUUCAGAGUGUCAUGAAACUGUUCUAACCAAGCUACAU